AUGGGAGUGCAGAGCCCAAAUCCCCUAGGAGGUUAUACAACAGACACUUUCACUGAUAGUCUAGAAGAUAUUCCACGUCUAAGCAGGACUCCAGAGACUGAUAUGCCACAAAAAGGUAAGAAAAGCUCUUGGUGAAUGCGUGAUGCAGGACUCCAAUACUGCAGUGAAGACAGAAGGCCAGUGAACAUCAGCCUGCACAGAACUGUACACAGUACUGAGGCCAGAUUUUCUUCCAGCUUGUGACUGCAAAGCUCAGAGGUUUCUCAGUGGUUCAGUUUCACAUCAGACAAAUCCAGCAGGUUUUGGCUGGCGUGACUCUGAGCAAACACACACACACACACACAAACACACACACACACACACACACACAAAACCUCAGAAGACUAGAUAGAAAAUGUUUAUAUCAAGCCCCAGCAAACUAAAACAUAGGAAUCUUGAACAACUGUCUUUGUAAAAUUGUUUCUGAGAACUCAACAUCAGUUAAAAACACGAUAAAU
rnacentral:lncRNA from 1 species